GGUGGGGAUGCUCAGGGAGCUGGCGGAGGCUCCAGCGUCCGGUCCCGGGUGCAGCGGCGAGAUCACCUUCCCUGCAGCCUCUCACCCGCCCGCGCAGGAGAGCCGCU
rnacentral:miRNA from 1 species